rnacentral:rRNA from 1 species
AGUGAACGCUGGCGGCGUGCUUAACACAUGCAAGUCGAACGAGAACGGGUUAUAGCUUGCUAUAAUUGUCAGCUAAGUGGCGCACGGGUGAGUAAUGUAUAGGUAAUAUGCCUCUUACUAAGGGAUAACAAAUGGAAACGUUUGCUAAUACCUUAUACUCCUUACUAACUAAAGUUAGUAAGGGAAAGAUUUAUUGGUAAGAGAUUAGCCUGUAUUGUAUCAGUUAGUUGGUGGGGUAAUGGCCUACCAAGACAAUGACGCAUAACUGGUUUGAGAGGAUGAUCAGUCACACUGGAACUGAGACACGGUCCAGACUCCUACGGGAGGCAGCAGUGGGGAAUAUUGCACAAUGGACGAAAGUCUGAUGCAGCAACGCCGCGUGGAGGAUGACACAUUUCGGUGCGUAAACUCCUUUUAUAUAAGAAGAUAAUGACGGUAUUAUAUGAAUAAGCACCGGCUAACUCCGUGCCAGCAGCCGCGGUAAGGCUACGUAGA